rnacentral:piRNA from 1 species
UGGGUGGUUCCUUCACUCUGUUUU